rnacentral:rRNA from 1 species
CCUACGGGAGGCAGCAGUGAGGAAUAUUGGUCAAUGGGCUUACGCCUGAACCAGCCAAGUCGCGUGAGGGAAGACUGCCCUAUGGGUUGUAAACCUCUUUUGUCAGGGAGCAACGCCGGCUACGUGUAGCCGGACUGAGAGUACCUGAAGAAAAAGCAUCGGCUAACUCCGUGCCAGCAGCCGCGUUAAUACGGAGGAUGCGAGCGUUAUCCGGAUUUAUUGGGUUUAAGGGGUGCGUAGGCGGAAUGCCAAGUCAGCGGGAAAAUCGCGGGGCUCAACCUCGCCCCGCCGUUGAAACUGGCGUUCUUGAGUGGGCGAGAAGUAUGCGGAAUGCGUGGUGUAGCGGUGAAAUGCAUAGAUAUCACGCAGAACUCCGAUUGCGAAGGCAGCAUACCGGCGCCCAACUGACGCUGAAGCACGAAAGCGUGGGUAUCGAACAGGAGUAGAUACCCUAGUAGUC